AGUGAACGCUGGCGGUAGGCCUAACACAUGCAAGUCGAACGGCAGCACAGUAAGAGCUUGCUCUUACGGGUGGCGAGUGGCGGACGGGUGAGGAAUACAUCGAAAUCUACUUUUUCGUGGGGGAUAACGUAGGGAAACUUACGCUAAUACCGCAUACGACCUACGGGUGAAAGCAGGGGAUCUUCGGACCUUGCGCGAUUGAAUGAGCCGAUGUCGGAUUAGCUAGUUGGCGGGGUAAAGGCCCACCAAGGCGACGAUCCGUAGCUGGUCUGAGAGGAUGAUCAGCCACACUGGAACUGAGACACGGUCCAGACUCCUACGGGAGGCAGCAGUGGGGAAUAUUGGACAAUGGGCGCAAGCCUGAUCCAGCCAUGCCGCGUGGGUGAAGAAGGCCUUCGGGUUGUAAAGCCCUUUUGUUGGGAAAGAAAGGCAGCAGGUUAAUACCCCGCUGUUCUGACGGUACCCAAAGAAUAAGCACCGGCUAACUUCGUG
rnacentral:rRNA from 1 species